CAGUUGCAGAGAAAAUAGAUCUAGGUUUUCUUCUUCUUCUACCUCCUACCCUUCGUCUGCUUCAAUUACAAUUGAUCAUAAAAAAUAUGAUCCAAUAGAUAGCGUAACCAAAUAUAUCAGUUCCAUAAUUUUAUUAGAGAUUUCGCAAAAAUGAACUAUUGUAUUGGGUCUUCGAAAUUUUAAAGGAGAAAUUAAAUAAAACAUAGACGUAAAGGAGAUUGAGAAGAAGCAUUAAAAGGAAACUUGGAUGACAUGGAUUAUUUUUUCCGCUACAAUCAAAACCGGAGAUGUUGAGAAAGGGACUAUCGUUGAAUAGAUGAUUGAAGAAGUAGUGAGGGACAGUGAUCAUUUGAGGAGCUUAAUUAAUAUUCGUGUAGCUAAAAGGAAAGUGGGUGUAACUUCCUUAAAUAACACAAGCUCGAGAUCACACCAGGUUAUAAGCUGGGGGAGACAUGGAAAGACCGGAUCAUUUUGUAGGCGUGUAUAUAAUUGUACAAGAUGAUGUAACGCGAUGCAAGGUUAUCUGCUAAACUUACCUCUGCAAAUUUGGAUGUUAUCCAACUGAAGCUUGGCAUGGUUGAUAUUUUUCUCAGUCUGUGCGGAUUAGGGUGGCAGUCUGGCUAUCAUGGAGUUUGGAAUUUUUUGGAUCUUUGCAGCGGUGUACAUAAUUGUACACACAUAUGUAAAUUAAUUUUUUUUUUUAAAUUAAAAUUAUAUAGUCAUAUGUGUACUCUUUUUGUAUCUCUCGGAAAAUGCUUUCCAAAUAUAUAAAGUUUGUC